rnacentral:rRNA from 1 species
AGAGUUUGAUCAUGGCUCAGAAUCAACGCUGGCGGCGCGCUUAACACAUGCAAGUCGCACGAGAAAGUGGAGCAUCCAUGAGUAAAGUGGCGUACGGGUGAGUAACACGUGGGUGACCUACCUUCGAAUGGGGGAUAACGUCCCGAAAGGGACGCUAAUACCGCAUAACAUCCUGCUCUUGAACGAGUGGAGAUCAAAGCCGGGGAUCGCAAGACCUGGCGUUUGAAGAGGGGCCCGCGUCUGAUUAGCUAGUUGGUGAGGUAACGGCCCACCAAGGCGACGAUCAGUAUCCGGCCUGAGAGGGCGGACGGACACACUGGGACUGAGACACGGCCCAGACUCCUACGGGAGGCAGCAGUGGGGAAUUGUUCACAAUGGGCGCAAGCCUGAUGACGCAACGCCGCGUGGAGGAUGAAGGUCUUCGGAUUGUAAACUCCUGUUGCCCGGGACGAAAAGCUUCGACCUAACACGUCGAGGUCUGACGGUACCGGGUGAGGAAGCCCCGGCUAACUCUGUGCCAGCAGCCGCGGUAAUACAGAGGGGGCAAGCGUUGUUCGGAAUUACUGGGCGUAAAGGGCGCGUAGGCGGCCUUCUAAGUCGAACGUGAAAUCCCCGGGCUCAACCCGGGAACUGCGUCCGAUACUGGAAGGCUUGAAUCCGGGAGAGGGAUGCGGAAUUCCAGGUGUAGCGGUGAAAUGCGUAGAUAUCUGGAGGAACACCGGUGGCGAAGGCGGCAUCCUGGACCGGCAUUGACGCUGAGGCGCGAAAGCCAGGGGAGCAAACGGGAUUAGAUACCCUAGUAGUCC